rnacentral:tRNA from 1 species
GACUCCGUGGCGCAACGGUAGCGCGUCCGACUCCAGAUCGUAAGAGUAGCGUGUUCAAAUCACGUCGGUGUCA